rnacentral:lncRNA from 1 species
AGGGCCUACAACAUUUUUAUCUAUAUAUCUCCAAUGUAUCAUGCCAUGCCUAUCAUAGGCACUUAAUGAAGGGUUUUUCAUUGAACUUUGAGAUUUUAAAAUGAUCUAGUCAGUUUUCAACCUCCUCUAUCUUAGUAAAUAACUUCACUGUCUAUUUUACUUGGGGGAAAAAAUGAAGCUAUUUUUGCCUUGAGCUAAAGCUCUCCAUGUCUUCCCUCAGCUUCUCUUCCUUCCCUCCACUCUCAGAGGAUGUAGCCAUCUUCCUUAUCAAAGCCAUUCCUUUCAUUUCUGCUGUUGCUCCCAACCUGUCUCAUCCCCUGGCCUCUGGGACCUUGCCAUCCUGACCAUUCCCUCUCCUAGUCUUUAAUUUCUCCUUUUCUGAUGGUUCCUUCCUCUCUUCCUACAAACAUGCUCCAGACUACCAUCCUUCGUCAUAACACAAAUAAGCAACCAACUUUUGCUAGACCCUGCUCCCCCCACUCAAGCUAUUAUCCUUUAUCUCUCCUCCCAGCCUUUGUUCAAUUUCUAGAAGGCAUGUUUAACAUUCGCUGCUUACAUAGCAUUUCUCCACUGUCUCUUAUCUGGCUUCAGUUCCUACUCCUCUACUGCAACUGCUCUAUGAUCACCAAUAACCUCUUAAUUGUCAAGUCUAAUGACCUUUUCUCAAUCACCAUCCCUCUGUUCCUUUCUAUAGCAUUUCACAUCAUUAGCCACCCCCACCUUCUUCACCCUUAUUUUCUUGCUUCCAUAACACAGAAACUCUCUCCUGCCUCUCCUCCUACCUAUCUGAUGAUGCCUCAAUUUCUUUCACUCACUGAUUCAUCUUUCUCAUCGUGCGCCAUAACAGUGGGUAUCCCCCAAAGUCCCAUUUUCAGCUCUCUUAUCUUUUCUCUCUCUAUUCUCUCAUUUGGUGAACUCAGCUACCCUCAAGCUAUGACCUAUAUAGUGAUGAUUUCCAAAUCUAUACAUUCAAUGAAAUCUCCAUCAUACUGUCCAUCUCCAUCGGGACAGUGCGCUAGUGCCCCAAACCCAACAUGUCCCAAACUCAGCUUCUUGGUUACCAAAAACCUACUCUUCAUCCCAACUAUCAGGAUGGCAACACCACUCUCUCAAUCCCCCAGCCUUAGUACCUUAAAAUCAUUUUUCACUCUUCAUUCCCUCUCACCUUUGACAAUCAGUUGAAAAGUGCUAUUCAUUCUAC